UCUGUUGUUGUUCCGUAGUUCGCUGACUGCGAAGCAAAAGCUAACCAGCACGUGGUAGUUUCACUGCACGACGACGAGAAUACCUAAAUAGGCAGCCAACCAAUUGAAUCUAAUCGAAAUUGUCACAUCACAUCGAGCAUCGACGCAUUGAUCUAACUGCUUCACCACCGCAUUACUCAUUUGCAUUUGCAACCUGUUGGACUAGUUUUAAAAGGGGUUUCUCUCAUGGAUGAUUCAUAAAGUUUAGCUACGGUAGGGUUAUUUAUUAUUAUAUCGAAUAAGAAAUCAACGAUCAUUAUUUGUUUUUGAUUGUACAAAUAAUAUUUUUUUAGUUGUUGUUUGAACGAAUUUCCAUUUAACAGCAAUAAUUAGCAUUUGAUCAUAGUAAAGUAACCAGUAUUUUAUUUCAGAUGCUUUGGAUUGCCUAUAGAGGGUUGAAAUUUGUAACUAUACCGUAAGUACCGAACCGGUAUUCAAUAUCCCUAUUGUAUAUGUGAGAACCUAUAAAAUAUCACAACACGCAAGUUGUUUACACAUGUCUCUCAAAACAAUUCCACUCCGUAUAAAUAUCAUUGGUUAUUAAAUAUCGUCCGCAGUACUCUCGAUUAUUCCCGCAGUCGCAAUCAACACCCGCAAGAAUGAAAAGUGCCAUACUGUUGUGUCUGGUUUCGAUCAGUGUCGUGGUUUUGGCAAAACCCAAUCCUUUUUCUACCGAUAGUGAUUUUUUGAAGCAACUGGAUGAAGCAAUAACUGAAGUACAUGCUCACCAAAAUGAAACCGUUACUGCGCAGGUUGAAGUUAGCGAUGGUGUAAACCUCACAUCGGAAGAAGUUGAUUACGAUCAUUCUUAUGAACACGAUGAUCACCAUCAUGAUGGAGAUGAUUUCAGUCAUGAAGAUUGCGAUCAUUCUGAUGAAUCGGUCGAAUCUGAUGAACACCACUCUACCAAGUCACCCCAGGAUAUCCAUUUGGCGAUAAAUGAUCAUUAAGAAUUGCCCCCACCUGAAGCGGAUAUAGCACAAAAUACUUAUUGACAUUAACAGUGAUUGAUAUCUCACAUGGGUUAAAGUACCUAUGCAGAAUUUUCAGGCAUGAAUUUCAACAAAUUGAAAAUGUAUUCUCUUCAAUGGUAAUUUUAGUAACUGUUAGUGCAUUAUAAUAAUCAGAUGUAUAUUAUUGCUUUAACAGAUUAACUGAAGAAAUAUAUUUAUGUUGAAAUUUUGUAAUCAAUAACAUCUAGAGAUUGUGUACAAUAAAUAUAUAAACAUAUUACAGUGUUA